AGCUCCAAUAGCGUAUAUUUUAGUUGUUGCAGUUAAAAAGCUCAUAGUUGAAUUUCUGGUGGGGGAAUGCAGUGUGACCCUUAGGGUUAUGACUUGCAAUCUCCGGCCAUCCUUGGGUGGAGCCAUUCUGGCAUUAAGUUGUCGGGGUGGGGAUGCCCAUUGUUUACUGUGAAAAAAUUAGAGUGUUCAAAGCAGACUUAUGUCGUUGAAUAUAUUAGCAUGGAAUAAUAAGAUAGGACAGCAGUGCUAUUUUGUUGGUUUGCGCACCGUUGUAAUGAUGAAUAGGGACAGUUGUGGGUAUUCGUAUUCACUUGUAAGAGGUGAAAUUCUUAGAUUAAGGGAAGACGAACUACUGCGAAAGCAUUUACCAAGGAUGUUUUCA
rnacentral:rRNA from 1 species